ensembl:lncRNA
GGCGGGGCCUCACGCCAGAGUUGCCCUGUCAGUGCAGGUGGAGGCCCCCGAAGGGGCAAAGUGGCAGGAACCUCUUAAAGGGCGAGAGCGGCGGAGGGCGAGAACGCGGCCCGGCCCGGCCCGGCCAGGUCCCCGCCCUGUCCAGCCCAGAUCAAACCCACGUCUCUUGCGUCUCCUGCGCUGGCUGCUGCACCCUUUACCACUGCACCGCCUGGGAAGCCUCUGUGGGAUCAUUACCUCUCUUGUUUCCUCAACCAUAAAGCAGCGAGACAAGUGAGCAUUAUCCUUACCCCCAGAACUGCCCUAAGAUGUAAGAGAGCUCAGGUAUACAGUGGGUGAUCAGUCUAGCCGAUGCCUUUUCUUUCCUAUUUCUGUUAACGACUUGGAGGUUUGUCUCAGGUGGCAAGUCCUUGAAUCUACCAGCCAUACCACCAAACCCAGGGCCUUUGCACUUGCUGGUCCUUCAACCUGGAACACCUACCCCAGAUCCUUCCAUAACUUGUUCUCUCAUCUUCUUAAUUUUUUUUGUUUAAAUGUCACCUGCUCAGUAAGGCCUUUCCAGACAGCUCUGUUUAACAGUGUGACACUCCCUCUCCUCCCUCCCGGCUUAUUUUUCUCCACAUCUCUUACCAUUGUUUAACCUACAAUAUUUCAUGGAGUAUCUGCUUAUUGUUUGACUCCCCUCACUGGCAUGUAAGCUCAGAGAUGACGGUGAUAUUUGUCUGUCUGGUUCAAUGUCAUAUCUCUUGUACCUAGAAGAGUCUGUGGUACAUAGUAGGUGCUCAACAAAUAUUUGUGGAGCGAAUUUUUUUAAAUUAAUUAAGUUAUUUUUGACUGUGCUGGGUCCUUGUUGCUGUUCACAGGCUUUCUCUAGUUGCAGCAAGCAGGGGCUGGAUGCGGUGCACGGGUUUCUCUUUGUGACGGCUUCUCUUGUAGCGGAGCACGGGGCCGAGAACACGGGCUCAGUAGCUGUGGCACAUGAGCUUAGUUCGUCUGUGGUAUAUGGACUCUUCCCAGAUCAGGGAUCAAAUGCCUGCGCUGGAAUGUGGACGCUCAACCACUAGCCCACCAGGGAAGUCCUUGUGGAGUGAAUUAAUGAAUAAAUGAAGCUUUCUUCUCUAGCACUAAUCUGAGCAUGCACACAUACACAACAAAUUAAUAAAUAAUUGUGUGAGUGGUCAUCAUUCUCUCCAUUUGCCAGAUAAUACUUUGGUUGGUCAAUCCUGAAGCCCUUUAGCUUCUGACAGUUUCUGCCAGGGCAUCAGUUUCCGUUGGAGUGCCCAGAUCUUUUGUUCCUAAGUCUGAGCUAUGCAGAAUUUCUAGUUGGGACUGUUUGGCUUUUGGGCCCACAUGGUUAUUAUGUCAUUAUUGGUAAUUAGCACUUAGGCCCAGAGGAUUGAGCUUUUUGUUUCUCAGCAGAAAUCACAGCAGACAGCUGUGCUGGACAGUGGGGCCCCAGGCCUGGAGCUGCUUCCUCUCUCCACUUCCAGCUAUGGGUCCAUGGCUUACAGAGACCAACGCAGAGAUGCCCAAAGCUAAGGGCAUC